CCUACGGGUGGCAGCAGUGGGGAAUAUUGGGCAAUGGGCGCAAGCCUGACCCAGCAACGCCGCGUGAAGGAAGAAGGCUUUCGGGUUGUAAACUUCUUUUCUCAGGGACGAAGAAAGUGACGGUACCUGAGGAAUAAGCCACGGCUAACUACGUGCCAGCAGCCGCGGUAAUACGUAGGUGGCAAGCGUUAUCCGGAUUUAGUGGUUGUAAAGGGCGGGUAGGCGGGAGCGCAAGUCAGAUGUGAAAACUCAGGGCUCAACCCUGAGCCUGCAUUUGAAACUGUGUUUCUUGAGUGCUGGGGAGGCAAUCGGAAUUCCGUGUGUAGCGGGGAAAUGCGUAGAUAUACGGAGGAACACCAGUGGCGAAGGCGGUUUGCUGGACAGUAACUGACGCUGAGGCGCGAAAGCGUGGGGAGCAAACAGGAUUAGAUACCCCUGUAGUC
rnacentral:rRNA from 1 species